GCCGAUGUAGCUCAGGCAGUAGAGCAUUUCAUUGGUAAUGAAAAGGCCAGCAGUGCAAAUCUGCUCAUCGGCU
rnacentral:tRNA from 1 species